rnacentral:rRNA from 1 species
UGGGGAAUAUUGCACAAUGGGCGCAAGCCUGAUGCAGCCAUGCCGCGUGUGUGAAGAAGGCCUUCGGGUUGUAAAGCACUUUCAGCGAGGAGGAAGGCGUUAAGGUUAAUAACCUUGGCGAUUGACGUUACUCGCAGAAGAAGCACCGGCUAACUCCGUGCCAGCAGCCGCGGUAAUACGGAGGGUGCAAGCGUUAAUCGGAAUUACUGGGCGUAAAGCGCACGCAGGCGGUUUGUUAAGUCAGAUGUGAAAUCCCCGAGCUUAACUUGGGAACUGCAUUUGAAACUGGCAAGCUAGAGUCUUGUAGAGGGGGGUAGAAUUCCAGGUGUAGCGGUGAAAUGCGUAGAGAUCUGGAGGAAUACCGGUGGCGAAGGCGGCCCCCUGGACAAAGACUGACGCUCAGGUGCGAAAGCGUGGGGCAGCAAACAGGAUUAGAUACCCUGGUAGUCCAGCGCUG